AGAACGAACGCUGGCGGCAUGCCUAAUACAUGCAAGUCGAACGAACACUUCGGUGUUAGUGGCGCACGGGUGCGUAACGCGUGGGAAUCUGCCCUUGGGUUCGGAAUAACAGUUGGAAACGACUGCUAAUACCGGAUGAUAUCGAAAGAUCAAAGAUUUAUCGCCCAGGGAUGAGCCCGCGUAGGAUUAGCUAGUUGGUGAGGUAAAGGCUCACCAAGGCGACGAUCCUUAGCUGGUCUGAGAGGAUGAUCAGCCACACUGGGACUGAGACACGGCCCAGACUCCUACGGGAGGCAGCAGUAGGGAAUAUUGGACAAUGGGCGCAAGCCUGAUCCAGCAAUGCCGCGUGAGUGA
rnacentral:rRNA from 1 species